AUUUUCUUCCAUUCAUUUUCUGUAAUAUACUUCUCUCACCUUCAAGAGAAUUCUAAAGGCUCUGCCUUCUCUCUACUUUCUCUCUCUAGAUUUUCUAUGAUUUCUCGGUCUAAUAUGAAUGUUUACAUGGUAUCAGAGCCUCGACGACGAUCCGUGAGUCUUUCAUCGUGAUAUCGGAGUGUAUUUUCUUCUCCUGAACGUUCUGGAAGGUUUUAUGAUGAUUUUUGGUUGAUUUUUGGGUGACCUAUUGGCUUCUAGGGUUUCUGGUAGUUUAACCUAAAGUUUUACUGCCAUCCGGUGACUCGAUUCUCACUUAGUGGACGUUUUGGGUUCCUCUCUGACGUUCCUGACCACAUUUCCAGUAUGGUUUUCCAAGGUUACACCUAGAGUUUGAUACCUAGGGUUUCUCUGUUGUUUGAAGGCUGAUCUUCUCCGGUCGCGAAGAAGGAGGGUAACUCUGUCCUUAUCUUCGGUACUGUAUGUGAUUAUUUGACUGUGUAUAUGUGAGCAUCUGGUGUUGUCUGUGAAUACCUGAUUUGUUUAUACUCUGUUUGUUGGUUAUUGUGUGGGAAUACCUGUUUUGGUUAUACUGUGUUUGCUGAAAAAUUGUUCCUUUAAGCCGGUUCAUUGACUAUGGCUUCUAACACAAAUACUGGUGCCUCCUCUUCUGUAGACUCUUCCAGUCCCCUUUUUGUAUAUUCUUGAAGAAGGAGGGUAACUCUGUCCUUAUCUUCGGUACUGUAUGUGAUUAUUUGACUGUGUAUAUGUGAGCAUCUGGUGUUGUCUGUGAAUACCUGAUUUGUUUAUACUCUGUUUGUUGGUUAUUGUGUGGGAAUACCUGUUUUGGUUAUACUGUGUUUGCUGAAAAAUUGUUCCUUUAAGCCGGUUCAUUGACUAUGGCUUCUAACACAAAUACUGGUGCCUCCUCUUCUGUAGACUCUUCCAGUCCCUUUUUGUAUAUUCUUCUGAUGUUCCUGGGGUAUGUCUCGUUUCCACUCCCUUCUCGGGUAGUGGUUAUGGGGGCUGGAGACGUAAAAUGAUUGUUGCCCUAUCAGNN
rnacentral:lncRNA from 1 species